ACUUUAGUGCCAGAUAAUUGGGGCUUAUUGAUGUUAAGUUUAUGAUGUAAAGUA
rnacentral:tRNA from 1 species